UGCAGAUGUCCCACCACUGCCACAACAAAACAGUGGCCACUGGGCUGCGGUGUGUGCUGGGAAUCCCACCAACGAGAUCAGGGGCUGCGAUAAGUACGGCUGCGGAUACUA